rnacentral:lncRNA from 1 species
UGCUCUCUUGUGUUCUUGGUUUAGAAUACAAAAUUCUGACUUAUCAAAGGGAGUGAUCAACCUUUGUGGCGUCUUCAAGGAUUAGGGUUUUAAGGACUUAGUUACCUUAGAGUUCUAAUCUGAUCUCCUAUAACUUGUUUUCUAGCGAUCUCGGGGCAAGUAUAGCAAAUUGAUUCAAGGGUUCCUAGGGCAGGUCUCCUGGUGGGUUCUUGUCAUUUGGUAUCAGAGCUUUGAUUCUAGAAAUCAGGUUACUUAUCCUUUAUCAUCUUUGUUCCUUUGUUCUUAUUUUAUUUCUUUAAGUUUCUUUGUUCAUUCUCUUAUUUCUGAUCUUUUCAGUUCCUUGUGUUUCUUGUUUCCUCUAAUCUGUUUUGUUCUUUAAUCUUCUGUUACUUAGUUUGAUUCAAAAA